CGAAUGAACAAGUACAAAGUUCAUUGGUGAUACAACUUCAGGUUGUCGGCGUUCCAGGUCCGGAGAAUGGGUUUUCCUUCCAGAGUCUCCAGUCGGUAAGCCCUCGGCCCAUAGGUGUCUGCUACCAUGUAGGGUCCUUCCCAAUUCGGAGCCAGCUUCCCUUGGUCUAGGGGCUUCGAGACUUCUGCCUUUCUCAGGACCAAGUCACCAGGCC
rnacentral:lncRNA from 1 species